rnacentral:miRNA from 1 species
AGGUUGGUGCAAAAGUAAUUGAGGUUGUUGCCAUUGAAAGUAAUGGCAAAAACCACAAUUACUUUUGUACCAACCUAAGAAA